CUCAGAUCUCCCUGCAGCAAACUGACAUGCCAUGGACUAUCCAUCCUUACACUCAAUAAAGGGCACCCACAUUGUUAUAAAAACUUGUGGGGGAGAUUCACAUGCAGCUGGAGCUUAGUUUUCCCUCUUCUGAUUCUAGUUAUGUUGGAAGGAAGAAAAAGAUUCAAUCUGCUUAGCACUCUUCCUCUUCUUCAGUUAAUUCCUGAUAGCAGCACAAGACAUAUUUGUUUUCCCCAGAAUUGACAAGGUGAUGGUUCUUGCAGGACUAAAUGACAAUACAGAGGAAGACUUUAUGAAGGAGUUUCUCCCAUUAGUUUUUUUUUUCAUACGGGAAAUAUGAGAACUCAGAAAGGUUUCAGAACGAUGAAAAAAUGGAUAACAGAACAUUACAAGAUAGCCAAAGGUACAAAAUACAAAGUCUUCUUUUUAAAGAGACGUGAUAUUUGGAUCCUCUGAAGAUUCUGAAAAGGUUAUCAGGCAACACCACUGUAUUAAUAACACAAUGAAAUCACCUGACUGAAAUGGACUGCCAUUUUUUUAAAAACACAUUAUUUUGGAGGAAGUGAAAUAAUGGAAGUGCAUCUGAUUCAUUUUAUUAAACCAGCAGCUGUCUAAAAAAAAAUAA